GUUUGCUUCAGCCACACAUAUACUAAAAUUGGAACGAGAGAAGAUUAGCAUGGCUCCUGUGCAAAUAUGACAUGCAAAUUCGUGAAGUGUUCCAUUUUUUU
rnacentral:snRNA from 1 species